UAUAGGGACGAAUAGAAAUAGAUUCGCCUUUGACCCAGUUCGUGUAAACAAUGUUGUCACCGAAGUCAGUUUUGAUUACCGGUUCUAGCCAAGGUAUUGGUCUCGAGUUUGUUCGAGCAUUUCUUAAGCUGACAACCCCUCCAAAACAUAUAUUUGCCUCAUGUAUAAACCGUGCAAGUGCAGAGGAUCUAGACGAAAUAGCAAAGACCAAUCCAGCUGUGAAAGUAAUUGAGCUAGACGUAGAAAAUCAAGACUCAAUAGAGAAAGCCAAGGAAGUUGUACAGUCAACAGUGCAAGAUGAAGGGCUUAAUUUACUUGUUAACAACGCUGGCAUACUCAAGCGGAUGGGAUUCCAUGACGUGACCAGGGAAGACAUGCGAAAACAUUAUGAGGUUAACUGCAUUGGUCCUCUAAUGAUGGCAAAGACAUUUCAUCCCCUUUUGAAACAGGCAGCAAGUCGGUCUCCAAGUGAUCCAAUGUCCUGUAACAAAGCUGCGAUUAUCAAUGUUGGAUCCGGUCAAGGUUCAAUAUCAGAAAAUGCAUCCAGUGGAAUGUAUCCGUACAGAGCAUCAAAGUGUGCAUUAAACAUGAUGAUGACCUGUUGGAGUAUCGACAUGAAGGCUGAUGGCAUACUGUGUGCGUCUAUUGCUCCUGGCUGGGUCAGGACGUCGAUGGGAGGACCUAACGCCGCUGUAUCGACAGAGGAAAGCUUGAAGGCGAUGUUUGAAACAAUGGAAAAACUUGGUGACGCGGACACUGGAAAGUUUCUCCAUGCAACAAGAGGUGGAACUGUGGUACCGUGGUAGAUCAGUUUGUACAUAGAGUGUCGAGGGAAGACUGAAGCUCACAUUGUUGCAAGGAUAACAUUUCAUCAUUGUCUUGUGUAAAACAAUGCCUUUGCGGUCGCGAUAAAUUGACAAUCAUAUAAAAUCCUGCUUAAUUGUUGGUGUUUUAUAAACAUUUGAUAAUCGAGUAUUUUGUUAUUUUUUUCAAUUGGCAGAAUAAUAUAUACAUAUUGUGUAACUGCUAUUGAUGCUUAAAUAAAGCCUAUUCUAUAAGUU
rnacentral:misc_RNA from 1 species